rnacentral:rRNA from 1 species
CUCGAUAACGAACGAGACCUUAACCUGCUAAAUAGAGGCGUGGGCCUUGGGGCGCGCGGACUCUUCUUAGAGGGACUGGCCAUUUUUAGUGGCUGGAAGUUUGAGGCAAUAACAGGUCUGUGAUGCCCUUUGAUGUUCUGGGCUGCACGCGCGCUACACUGACAAAGGCAGCGAGUAAGGCCUUGACCGGAAGGUUUGGGUAAUCUUUUGAAACUUUGUCGUGCUGGGGAUAGACGAUUGCAAUUAUUGGUCUUGAACGAGGAAUUCCUAGUAAGCGCAAGUCAUCGGCUUGCGUUGAUUACGUCCCUGCCCUUUGUACACACCGCCCGUCGAUAAUACCGAUUGAAUGGAUU